CAGCAGCCACGGGAAUACGGAGGGGGCUAGCGUUGUUCGGAAUUACUGGGCGUAAAGCGCACGUAGGCGGCUUGGUAAGUUAGAGGUGAAAGCCCGGAGCUCAACUCCGGAAUUGCCUUUAAGACUGCCGAGCUAGUAGGUGAGAGAGGUAAGUGGAAUUCCGAGUGUAGAGGUGAAAUUCGUAGAUAUUCGGAAGAACACCAGUGGCGAAGGCGGCUUACUGGCUCAUUCUAGACGCUGAGGUGCGAAAGCGUGGGGAGCAAACAGGAUUAGAUACCCGUGUAGUCCCUGUCUCUUAUAC
rnacentral:rRNA from 1 species